GAUGAACGCUGGCGGCGCGCCUAACACAUGCAAGUCGAACGAUUAAAGCACCUUCGGGUGUGUAUAAAGUGGCGAACGGCUGAGUAACACGUGGGCAACCUGCCCCUCUCAUUGGGAUAGCCACGGGAAACCGUGGAUAAUACCGAAUACUUCGGGACUUCCGCAUGGAAGACUCGAGAAAGCUCCGGCGGAGAGGGAUGGGCCCGCGGCCUGUUAGCUUGUUGGUGGGGUAAUGGCCUACCAAGGCAAUGAUGGGUAGCUGGGUUGAGAGACCGACCAGCCAGAUUGGGACUGAGACACGGCCCAGACUCCUACGGGAGGCAGCAGUGGGGAAUCUUGCACAAUGGGCGAAAGCCUGAUGCAGCGACGCCGCGUGCGGGAUGAAGACCUUCGGGUUGUAAACCGCUUUCAGCAGGGACGAGGCGAAAGUGACGGUACCUGCAGAAGAAGCCCCGGCUAACUACGUG
rnacentral:rRNA from 1 species